rnacentral:rRNA from 1 species
AAAAGAAAAAGAGANGACAACUUUUGACGGUGGAUCUCUUGGCUCGCGCAUCGAUGAAGAACGCAGCCAGCUGCGAUAAGUAGUGUGAAUUGCAGAAUUCAGUGAAUCAUCGAAUCUUUGAACGCAAAUGGCGCUCUUGGGUUCUCCCAGGAGCAUGUCUGUCUGAGUGUCGGAUUGUACNCCAUCGCGGUUGGACCGUUUCCACGGCAGCCGCGGCGUUGAGGCGACACGACGCGGUCCCAGGCUGGUCGUGUCUCUCGAAACCGAGCGUAGCCCCGUUGCCGCAGCGGUCGCGUCCGACUCUGUCCGCCAAAGAGGGGAGGCUUAAGGCUGACCUUUCCCUGGACGGAGGAGGUCCGACGUGGCGAGGGACGGAGGCCAACGAGAGAGAAAGAGAAAGAGAGCAAAGGCAGUGAAAAGGCAUCUUGACCUCAGAUCAGGCAAGG